GAGGGUAUAGCUCGGUGGUAGAGUGCGUGCUCAUCAUGCAUGAGGUCUUGGGGUCAAUCCCCAGUACCUCUA
rnacentral:tRNA from 1 species